rnacentral:tRNA from 1 species
AAAAGGGGGGUAUGGCGAAAUUGGUAGACGCUACGAUAGGAAAAUCCGUCGAUUUUAGAAAUCGUGAGGGUUCAAGUCCCUCUAU